GGAGCCGUGGUGUAGUCGGUUUAACACGCAGCCCUGUCAAGGCUGAGAUCGCGGGUUCGAGUCCCGUCGGUUCCGCCA
rnacentral:tRNA from 1 species